UUCCACCACUGAUAAGCUGAGUCUUUUAGCAGAGAUACAACACAUUUUAGGCAUCCGACUGGUGUACAGGAUAGUUCAUCAAGAACCUAAGAGUGUUUUCCAACCAAAACUCAGCUCUUUCGGGGUCAUCUUCAGCGGUAGCUCUGAAUUCUUCUGCCCCAUAUUUACGAAUUUUAUCUACCGGAGGCUUACCAAUUCUAACAAGUUAUGUACCUUGAAGCAUUUCGGGAACUGGUUGAG
rnacentral:lncRNA from 1 species